AAAAAGACAAACUCCGAGUUUCCGUGUCUAACGACUGUCCGUUUUAUAUAAAUUCUUUUUAUAAUUAGUAUUUUUAUUGUUGUUAGAUGAUAAAACAUAAUUAGUACUUUAUGCGUGACUUAUCUUUUUAAUUUUUUUUAUAUUUUUUUUAAAUAAGACGAACGGUCAAAUGUUGGACAUGAAAACCUAGGAUUUGUCUUUUU
rfam:Oryza barthii chromosome 6, whole genome shotgun sequence.